AUGAGGCAGGAGUGGGCGGCCAUCCGCAUCCAGACCACCUUCCGCGGCUUCCUGAUUCCAUUUGACUCUGGUUGUUACCGCUACAGUUUGUUGUUGGAUGAUGUAAGUUCUGAUCCGUUUUACCCUUGUGCAUAUUUGGUUUCUCCUUUAUUCUUAUGCUUAUAUUGCCCCAUCAAAUGUGUAAUUUGCUGUCCGCAACUGACACGUAAAUGCUCUCUCAGGUGUCGGAGCAGCAGCGAGCAAUAG
rnacentral:rRNA from 1 species